rnacentral:rRNA from 1 species
CCUACGGGAGGCAGCAGUGAGGAAUAUUGGUCAAUGGACGAGAGUCUGAACCAGCCAAGUAGCGUUAAGGAUGACUGCCCUAUGGGUUGUAAACUUCUUUUAUAUGGGAAUAAAAUGUUCCACGUGUGAUGUUUUGUAUGUACCAUAUGAAUAAGGAUCGGCUAACUCCGUGCCAGCAGCCGCGGUAAUACGGAGGAUCCGGGCGUUAUCCGGAUUUAUUGGGUUUAAAGGGAGCGUAGGUGGACUGUUAAGUCAGUUGUGAAAGUUUGCGGCUCAACCGUACAAUUGCAGUUGAUACUGGCUGUCUUGAGUACAGUAGAGGUAGGCGGAAUUCGUGGUGUAGCGGUGAAAUGCUUAGAUAUCACGAAGAACUCCGAUUGCGAAGGCAGCUCACUGGACUGCAACUGACGCUGAGGCUCGAAAGUGUGGGUAUCAAACAGGAUUAGAUACCCUGGUAGUC